CAAGAAUCCACCUUUAAAGACAGCUCAUUUUCUUUCCAGAUGCCAUCCUCCCAGCUUCUCAAAGCUGUCACGUCCUGCUUGGCUUCUCCCCCUGAUGAAUCUGCUCUCCCGGCACUCAGCGCUGGCACUGGAGAAACAGCAAUUAAAGUGGCCAAUCAUGGGCACUCCUAAAUCACGGCUGAGUACUGGUGACAUGAUUAACGGCAGAUGCUCCAAGUGCUGGAGUCAGCAUGUUGGAUGCUUCCUUCCUUCCUUCUUCUCUGGCUACCUUGCAGCCACUUGACCUGGAUUUUCUCUGAAAUUUCCUGGAAAAGAUUCAACUUUAUUGGGGAAGGAGAGAAAUAUCUCAAUGGUUCUGUCCACGGGUGCCCUGUCCUGAGCUGCCUUUCUAACUUCCAGAAAUCACUGUGGUGGUGGCUUUCCAUCUUGCCAGGUAUGAGGUGGGCCAUGCUUGAGUUUAAACAGUUUGUUUUUAGACAUCUGCUUAAAAUCCACAUUUGGUUUCUUAAUAUCUUGACCUUGUUUAGUUGUUAAGGGUACGCAUGGGUGAUCUCUCAAUGUGGUGGCAGUGACUAGUGUGUAAGAACUCUACCUACCUCCUUUUUCAUUUUGGAUUUUUAUUUUGGAUAAUAAUGACUUAUGAAUGACAAGACAAGACAUAAGAAUGACAAGACAAGUAGGCAUGAAUAAUUUUUUGGAUAGCAGAUAACAUUACUUUAUCUUUAACCUUAACUCCACCAACUCUUCCAAACUUCCCUAUUACGGUUGAGGACACCACUUUAUCAUCAUCUCAAGCAAUCAGGUCUUCCGAGUCUUUGUGUCAUUUUCACCUCUCCAAUUAUCUUCACCAUAUGUAUCCAACUAGAUGUAAAAUCUUGGGAAUUCUACUUCCUUGUCCCUCACUUCCUUCACAUGCAUUGUGUUCUCUCUAUUUACAUAGUCUCCACUCUAGUUUAGGCCCUUAUCUCCUAUGUAAACUUUUAUGCUAGCCUCCCAAUUGUUCUCUUUGAUUCCAGUGUUUCUCCAUUUCAAUCCAUCCUUUAUUUAGCUGC
rnacentral:lncRNA from 1 species